CCUCCACUAACUAACCGGACAGACUCACAAAGGACCAACCCGCAGGUCUACUACAGAUGCUGGUGCUUGGGUAGCACCCACAUUUACAUUUUCUAAUUGCAUCUUUCUCUAAUUCCUCACCAUGACAGGGAGGGGCUGGUUUCUGAGACAAUAAACUAAUGCAAUGGUUCUCAACCUCUGUAGACGCAAGGCACCCCUUUGUUAGGCUCCAGAUACCCUCAAAAAUGCCAUCUCUUAAUUUUCACUUAUUUUUCAACCAUUGAAAAAAAACAGAGCAAUAAUUCUGUCAGAAAGAACUCCAAGAGACCACAACAGGACACCAUGUUUUUACACAAGAAUGUCAGCAGUGCCAGACUGGCUCAGACCAAUGGUGCAUCUAGCCCAGUAUCCCGUCUCCAGCAGUGGCAGGACUAGAUACUAGAGGAAGAGCAUUGAACUGGACAGAUCUAGAGUGAUCUCUCCCUGGCAUCCACAACUAUUGGAUGAGAGAAGCCAAAGGAAACUUCUCCACCCGUUUUGCUAAAUAGCCAAUAAUAGAUUGAGCAUGCAUGAAUCUGUCAGGCCUCAUAGUGUUUCUG